GUGGGGAAUAUUGCGCAAUGGGGGAAACCCUGACGCAGCAACGCCGCGUGAGUGAGGAAGGACUUCGGUCUGUAAAGCUCUGUUAAUGUGGAAAAAUGGUAGUUGGUCUAAUAGGCCGAUUAUUUGAUGGUACACAUAGAGGAAGCACCGGCUAACUUCGUGCCAGCAGCCGCGGUAAUACGAAGGGUGCAAGCGUUGUUCGGAUUUAUUGGGCGUAAAGCGCGCGUAGGCGGACCUGCAAGUCAGAUGUGAAAUCUCGGGGCACAACACCGAAACUGAGGCUGAAACUACAGGUCUAGAAUCUUGGAGUGGGAAGGGGAAUAUCGCAUGUAGGGGUAAAAUCCGUAGAUAUGCGAUGGAACACCAGAGGCGAAGGCGCCUUCCUGGACAAGUAUUGACGCUGAGGCGCGAAAGCGUGGGGAUCAAACAGGAUUAGAAACCCCUGUAGUCC
rnacentral:rRNA from 1 species